GGGAAGGCCCAGACAGCCAGGAUGUUGGCUUAGAAGCAGCCAUCAUUUAAAGAAAGCGUAAUAGCUCACUGGUCGAGUCGGCCUGCGCGGAAGAUGUAACGGGGCUAAACCAUGCACCGAAGCUGCGGCAGCGAACGUAUCACUUAAAGCGAUUCAGCGGAUUACGAUUGACGGAGCGAAGCGACGUCAAAGCGUAUACAAAGUCGAGUCGGUUUAAGGAUACGUUCGUUGGGUAGGGGAGCGUUCUGUAAGCCUGUGAAGGUGGCCUGUGAGGGUUGCUGGAGGUAUCAGAAGUGCGAAUGCUGACAUAAGUAACGAUAAAGCGGGUGAAAAGCCCGCUCGCCGGAAGACCAAGGGUUCCUGUCCAACGUUAAUCGGGGCAGGGUGAGUCGACCCCUAAGGCGAGGCCGAAAGGCGUAGUCGAUGGGAAACAGGUUAAUAUUCCUGUACUUGGUGUUACUGCGAAGGGGGGACGGAGAAGGCUAUGUUGGCCGGGCGACGGUUGUCCCGGUUUAAGCGUGUAGGCUGGUUUUCCAGGCAAAUCCGGAAAAUCAAGGCUGAGGCGUGAUGACGAGGCACUACGGUGCUGAAGCAACAAAUGCCCUGCUUCCAGGAAAAGCCUCUAAGCAUCAGGUAACAUCAAAUCGUACCCCAAACCGACACAGGU
rnacentral:rRNA from 1 species